rnacentral:rRNA from 1 species
UACGGGGGGUGCAAGCGUUGUCCGGAAUCACUGGGCGUAAAGGGCGCGUAGGUGGCGUCGUAAGUCUGUGGUGAAAGCCCGGAGCUCAACUCCGGAAUUGCCUUUAAAACUGCAUCGCUAGAAUUGUGGAGAGGUAAGUGGAAUUCCGAGUGUAGAGGUGAAAUUCGUAGAUAUUCGGAAGAACACCAGUGGCGAAGGCGACUUACUGGACACAUAUUGACGCUGAGGUGCGAAAGCGUGGGGAGCAAACAGG